UGUGGAUUCAUGAAGUCUGCAUCAACCCUAGUAAUAACUAUUUCACAUUAUAGUGAAGAAUGUGGGACUCAGUGAAGUCAAGUAAAUAUGCUCAAGAACACACUGCUGUUAAGUGUCAGAGAACAAAAGUGAACCAAAGUUUAACAAAUGAGCUUUAUGGAAAAUGGAAGAGAGCCAAUCCUUUUACCCCAAUGCUUUAAUGGUUAAAGAAGAAAACACUUGAGAAUGACAGACUAUUGAGAAACUAAUGACAUUGAAGGUACUAGCUACCAAAACUUGUGGGCUUCAGAUAAAGAUGCACU